CACCGCAAGGAAACACAUCCCUGA
rnacentral:siRNA from 1 species